CCCUGGUAGUCCACGCCGUAAACGAUGAAUACUAGGUGUCGGGGGGUACCACCCUCGGUGCCGCAGCAAACGCAUUAAGUAUUCCGCCUGGGGAGUACGGUCGCAAGAUUAAAACUCAAAGGAAUUGACGGGGACCCGCACAAGCAGCGGAGCAUGUGGUUUAAUUCGAAGCAACGCGAAGAACCUUACCUAGACUUGACAUCUCCUGAAUUACUCUUAAUCGAGGAAGUCCCUUCGGGGACAGGAAGACAGGUGGUGCAUGGUUGUCGUCAGCUCGUGUCGUGAGAUGUUGGGUUAAGUCCCGCAACGAGCGCAACCCUUAUUGUUAGUUGCUACUAUUAAGUUAAGCACUCUAACGAGACUGCCGCGGUUAACGUGGAGGAAGGUGGGGAUGACGUCAAAUCAUCAUGCCCCUUAUGUCUAGGGCUACACACGUGCUACAAUGGCUGGUACAACGAGCAGCAAACCCGCGAGGGGGAGCAAAACUUGAAAGCCAGUCCCAGUUCGGAUUGUAGGCUGAAACUCGCCUACAUGAAGUUGGAGUUGCUAGUAAUCGCGAAUCAGCAUGUCGCGGUGAAUACGUUCCCGGGUCUUGUACACACCGCCCGUCACACCAUGAGAGCCGGUAACACCCGAAGCCCGUGAGGUAACCGUAAGGAGCCAGCGGUCGAAGGUGGGAUUGGUGAUUGGGGUGAAGUCGUAACAAGGUAGCCGUAGGAGAACCUGCGGCUGGAUCACCUCCUUUCUA
rnacentral:rRNA from 1 species